rnacentral:rRNA from 1 species
AUUGAACGCUGGCGGCAGGCUUAACACAUGCACGUCGAGCGAGCGGCGGACGGGUGAGUAAUGCCUGGGAAACUGCUUGAUGGAUGGGGAUAACUACUGGAAACUGCAGCUAAUACCGCAUACCAUUUGAUGUGCCCAGAUGGGAUUAGCUAGUUGGUGGGGUAAUGGCCCACCUAGUCGACGAUCCCUAGCUGGUCUGAGAGGAUGACCAGCCACACUGGAACUGCGAAACGGUCCAGACUCGUACGGGAGGCAUCAGUGGGGAAUAUUGGACAAUGGGCGCAAGCCUGAUGCAGCCAUGCCGCGUGUGUGAAGAAGGCCUUCGGGUUGUAAAGCACUUUCGGCGAGGAAGCGUUACUCACAGAAGAAGCACCGGCUAACUCCGUGCCAGCAGCCGCGGUAAUAC